UGAGCGGGCUGCAGUGCUGCGGGAGCGGGCGAUGCUCCGGGGGCUGGGUGCUGUGUGCUGAGUGCUGUGCCCCCCCGCCGCAUCCCGGGCUAUAAAUAGUGCAGGAAAGCAGUCGCGGUGCUGCCACGAGGCUUUGGCAGUCCCCAAAAGCCAUCGGCAGGGGGGAGCGUGACAGCGUGCGGGGCAGUGACCGCACUCCCAUCCCCAUUUUCCGGCGCGGAUUGAUCCCCUCGGCGGGCAGCGGCUGCAGGACACGGCGGAGCCCCACCACCUCCAGGUCUCAUCCCAGAACUCCCCCUGGAAAAGCAGGAUGCAUCUGCACUGACCAGCAGGGACAUUGCCACACCGUGCCUCCCCCCUCUGUUCUCUUGAGGCUUGGGUGAGAAUCCACUUUGCCUCAGACCCCGCAUUCUGGGGGAAAAGUCAUUAUUUUAUGAAGCUGAGAUCUCCCAACUGGGAUGAAAUCCACCCCGAAGCCCUGCAAGAGCCAUCAGCACCGCAGGUCGGGGGGGAAGCAGCUGCUUUGGGGAUUAUUAAUGAGCAGCGAAUGAUGGGAAAGGCGAGGAUCAAUCGGAACAAAGGAGUUCAAUGGCAGAAAGAAACACUCGCAGAGUAAUGGGAGUCCAUUUCUCCUGCCGACUGUCGGAAGCGCAUCCUGUUAAACAUCCAUCAAUUAUCCCAGCUUGAAAAUGCAUUAAAGUAAUGAGGAAUUAUCCAUCAGA